rfam:Nosema bombycis CQ1 unplaced genomic scaffold NBO_1206, whole genome shotgun sequence.
GGACUCCUAGUUUAACGGUAGAACAUUCGACUUCGGAUCGAAAUAUUCGGGUUCGAUUCCCGGGGAGUUCA